rnacentral:misc_RNA from 1 species
AAGUCGUAACAAGGUUUCCGUAGGUGAACCUGCGGAAGGAUCAUUAUCCUUUAGCGUAGCGCUCUUCUGAGCUCUACAAGCGCAUGCACUUUUGUGUUGCGUUAAAAUGCACAAACGCUCGGGCCUCGUCCUGUUCGUUUUCAAAAUCCAUGUUCGCUCGAACAUGGUCGGGUACCUACGUUGUGUUCGCACAACGCAAGCGAUAGACGCGUGUCUGUCGUGUGGCGUAAAGAUUAUUCGAGCUUAAGAAUAACGCCCGCUUAGCAAAAUUUUUAUUACAAAUUUUAAAUCGCUUAUUAUGUUGUAUGUGUAAAGCAAUAUCUCGUUCACUUGAAUAAGAUAAUAACACAAAUACAACCCUAUGCGGUGGAUCAUUUGGCUC